rnacentral:rRNA from 1 species
AUUGAACGCUGGCGGCAUGCCUUACACAUGCAAGUCGAACGUGAAAGGGGGGCAACCCCCGAGUAGAGUGGCGGACGGGUGAGUAAUACAUCGGAACGUGCCCAGUAGUGGGGGACAACCUCGAGAAAUCGAGGCUAAUACCGCAUACGACCCACGGGUGAAAGCGGGGGACCGCAAGGCCUCGCGCUAUUGGAGCGGCCGAUGUCCGAUUAGCUAGUUGGUAGGGUAAAAGCCUACCAAGGCAACGAUCGGUAGCAGGUCCGAGAGGACGACCAGCCACACUGGGACGGAGACACGGCCCAGACUCCUACGGGAGGCAGCAGUGGGGAAUUUUGGACAAUGGGGGCAACCCUGAUCCAGCCAGGCCGCGUGCGGGAAGAAGGCCUUCGGGUUGUAAACCGCUUUCGGCCGGAACGAAAUCGCCGGGGAGAACAUCUCCGGUGGAUGACGGUACCGGAAGAAGAAGCACCGGCUAACUACGUGCCAGCAGCCGCAGUAAGAC